UACGGAGGGUGCAAGCGUUAUCCGGAUUCACUGGGUUUAAAGGGUGCGUAGGCGGGCAUGUAAGUCCGUGGUGAAAUCUCCGAGCUUAACUCGGAAACUGCCAUGGAUACUAUAUGUCUUGAAUGUUGUGGAGGUUAGCGGAAUAUGUCAUGUAGCGGUGAAAUGCAUAGAUAUGACAUAGAACACCAAUUGCGAAGGCAGCUGGCUACACAAAUAUUGACGCUGAGGCACGAAAGCGUGGGGAUCAAACAGG
rnacentral:rRNA from 1 species